AUACGGAGGGUGCAAGCGUUAUUCGGAAUCACUGGGCGUAAAGGACGCGUAGGCGGGUUGGCAAGUCAGAUGUGAAAUCCUACAGCUUAACUGUAGAACUGCAUUUGAAACUGCUAACCUAGAGUAUGGGAGGUGGAGAUGGAAUUAGUGGUGUAGGGGUAAAAUCCGUAGAUAUCACUAGGAAUACCGAAAGCGAAGGCGAUCUCCUGGAACAUAACUGACGCUAAGGCGUGAAAGCGUGGGGAGCAAACAGGAUUAGAAACCCUUGUAGUCC
rnacentral:rRNA from 1 species